AACCCAAUGUUUAUAUCCCAGGACAAAUUGGCUAGCAACAGAAAGCUAGCUAUUGCCAUAAAUGUUUAAUUAUUUUCGAUCUGUCCCCAAAUUAAUAUAGGUGGUUCAGAGUUUGUUUUUAUAUGUCAACCUGCAUGUCCUGAGCUUGUCUGACACCAGACUCUGCGGUUUCAGAGUCUACGAGCCAGGAUAGGGAGCAGGUUGCCGUUUGUCAUGAAUCUUGCCCUGUAUGUGUAACAGUGUAACUUCAGACCUUCCAGACACCAGGGUGGACAAAAAAAAGCACGCUUGCUGUCUGUUCAGCAUGUAAUUUGAAGUAGGCUAGAGGCGGAGAGGGUAGAAAGUAGGGCUGCACGCACCGGUAGAUAACAGUAGCCAGAAAAUACUGGACCGGUACCAGACACCAGGGUGGACAAAAAAGCACGCUUGCUGUCUGUUCAGCAUGUAAUUUGAAGUAGGCUAGAGGCGGAGAGGGUAGGAAGUAGGGCUGCACGCACCGGUAGAUAACAGUAGCCAGAAAAUACUGGACCGGUACCAGACACCAGGGUGGACAAAAAAGCACGCUUGCUGUCUGUUCAGCAUGUAAUUUGAAGUAGGCUAGAGGCGGAGAGGGUAGAAAGUAGGGCUGCACGCACCGGUAGAUAACAGUAGCCAGAAAAUACUGCGCCGGUACCAAAGGAUACAACCGCCAGAGUUUACGCGCCAGGAUAGGGAGCAGGGUGCCGUUUGUCAUGAAUCUUGCCCUGUAUGUGUAACAGUAUAAUUUCAGACCGUCCCCUCGCCCAUACCCGGGCGCGAACCAGCAGAACUGCCUCCAAGGUUGGAUUCGGAAAAAGUUGCAAUGAAGGACAUGUGUUUCCUGUGUAACGACACAAAGUGCCCAGAGGUGACGAAAUGUUUUGAUCAUAAUGGUGACCUGAACCAGAAUCUGCUGACGAUGCCAGGUCCUUUCCAGCAAUGCACAUCCACCCCCUAUCCUCCUUCUGGGAGGUGCACCAUUUGUAGUCUGGAUUAUUAUUACACUGUGUGCAGAAACGUCUCAGAGAGCAUCCAGCCUGCCCUGGAGGCCAACAGCACAGCCAUUACCAACUAUGAACAAGCCAAUUGCCCUGUCAUCGGCAUCGCACCAACUACUGUGAAUGGUUCAGACUUCACGGGAGCUGCUGCUCAAUAUGGACGUCCUGGGGGUGAACUGUGGUGGUGUUUACUGAUACUCGUCCUGGUCGUUGUUUGCAUUGGCAUCAUUGCUUACAGGUGUAUCAAAAAGCGCAAAAUAGAAAACCUUGUCAUAUAAGGCACUCAGGACUACCCAUCCCUUAACCAAGCUAUUUGGACACAACCACCAGAGACAGGGACAGCACUCAGGACUACCCAAACCCCCAGAUCAGGAUGCUGCUGCAUUAUCUCUGCCUUAAUUCCAUCACUUUAACUCUUCUUAAAGUUGUAAUCUUUUAAUACAUUUUCACAUUCAGAUUCUUGUCAAUCAGUACCAUUAAACCAGUGCCUUGGAUAAUUGUUGGUCCUCUAAUACUGACACCAGUCUAUUAAAGCCUACUCUUAUUCUUAG